UCGGGUUAUUAUCUCAUCAGCACUGUACAGUCAGUGAAUGUUGCAAAAUAUCCAAAGAAUUAUUUUGAUAAUAUAACCACUGUAGAAACAAAGUGGCUGGAAAGCUGACGUAAGCUUCUCAACAGAGUUGGAGAAAGAAGGAAGAAUAAUGUUCUUCAAAGUGAUAUUGACUUGUUUUUUGCUGACAGCAGGCCAACCAGCUGUCAGUGUGACAACUACAGCUUCACUGAGUGAAGCAAGCUUUGCAAAAGCUUCAGAAUAUAGAACUGUCUUUGAAUCCCCUUCAGCAUCUGUACCAUCUGCACCAAGUAUAAGCUCAGCCGCAACCAACACAUCUACAGAACCCACAACUGUAUCUACACAAAGCCCAACCACAGUUACAAAAUCCACAACAAGUCAAACUACAACCAAAAUAUCUACAAAUUCCACAGUGGCAAAAACAACAAACACAUCUACAGAAUCAACAGUGGUAAGCACGUCUUCAUCUUCUAGCACAGCCACUGCCAUAACUACAGGCAAUACUUCUGUUUCCACCGACCCUGGAGCUGUGAUCACCGGUUCUGUUACAACAACUACGUCAAAGACUGAGAUAACAUCAGAAAGCAGCUCAACUAUCGAUUCUUCUUAUAUAACAUCCAUGAAAACCUCUACUGCAGUUAUCAAUCCGACGACAACGACAACAACAAAUGUGGGAUCAACAGUAUUCAUAUCCACAACUCCUACAACAGCUGUGGUGACAACAUCAACCAUUCAUACAUCUACUGUUGAGAGUACUGUAACAUCACAUAAAGUAGAUGAAGAAAUCCCAAUUAACGCUCUCAGUUCAGGGAGUGUGAUAGCUAUUGUCAUUGCAGUUAUUGCACUUGUGCUGUUAGUGUUUGGAGCAGCCUAUCACCUUAAGAUGAGACGCUCCCCAUACGGAAGAUUUUUCGAUGACAACGACUACGGCUCAGUGGAAAACUUCAACAAUCCCCUCUAUGAGACCUCGUAAUGGAGUCAAGACACCCGAUGACUUAACUGCAAACUGCUGUGAUAGAAAAACAGAUGAACAAACAACCACAUGGCCUGACAAACCUAAACCCUUUUUUAUAUUCUGAUCAUUUCAUUUAGAUGGAAUCAGACUAUAUGAAAUCAGUUUUUUUUCUUUUCUGUGAAUACAAAAUACAGUCUUUUUACUGCCAGUUUUAUUCACUUUGAAAUAGAAUACAGUAUUUUCUACAGUAUGCAAAAAUAAUGUCCAAUCACAGACAAGCAAGGUAACAGAUAACAGGUUUGGUAAAUGUAUGAUGCAGAGUGCUUGUGAAGGUUAUUUUGAUGACAGGACAGCUAGCAUCAGAUAUUCUUGGAUCAAGAUGCCUUUUAUUCUAUAUUUAUUUUAACUUAAUUAUAAACUGUUUUACUUCUUUCUAAUAGAUCUUGUUCUUAUGGGAUUUUAGAUAGUUCUAAUAGAUCUUGUUCUUACUGUACAAUUGCUUGGUUUUCAUAUUUGCAAAGAGUUGUGACUAUGUUUGAAUGAUUUCUUUAACUUUAUUUAACAAAACUAUUUACAACCUUUAAACACAAAAACAACAAUGUGUCAAGGAUUUCAAGUGUUUUUUAUAUUUCAAUUUGAAAUAUGCAGAUAUUUUGAAGGCAGCAGCGUCAAUGAAAAGUUACUGCUGCUAGCUGGUACCUAAUCACAUCAUGGUCUAUCAGACUAUGUGACCUACAGCAGUACUAGGAUGCAGGAGUGUAUCUAUAAGGCCUUAUUUUAAAUAUUUACAUUACAUUCUGCAAUGACAUAAAUGUCAUAUCAUCACAAUAAAAGGGGGACCAGUAAUAAUGUUAAGAAGAUGUAAAUGGCCCACAAAUAAAGAGACUGUUUAAAAUUAAUUGAUAAUGUGUCAAUAAAAUGAUAUGGUUCUCCAACAUGGUUUAAUGAGGUCCGGGUUAAUUAUUUGCUAAAUUAUUAUCUCAGAUUUUUAGAAUACAUUGCAGUAGUGUUAUUGAAAUGUUCAUAUUAAAAUUAUAUUUCUGGGCUGAAAUUUAUAAGUGACUGCAUGGUUAGAGGUCAAUAAUGUGUACAUUGUGCGCAAGUACCAUGUAAAUGUGACCUGCAGCUGUAACUUCAAGUUUGCUCCUCUAUUGUUCAUUCAUUGAUCCUGUUUUAAAGCCAUUCUUACAGACCAGGCAAAGGUCAACGCUAGUAUAACUCACAUGCAUUUACAUAUUUUUGUGAUGAAGGAGUGUGCGGAAUGCAUUGAAGCAUGUUAGCUAUGUUUUGUUGUUUUUUUAAAAAAUUUGGCACGUUUACCGUAAACGGGCAUCAUACAGGGAAGUGCAGGCAUGUGUACUUUUCCUUGCUUGUGUGUAGUGCUGCCAAAUCUGCGUUUUUUCAUUCCGUUUUGCAGGAGAGAAUGAUGCUAGACGGGUUGUCUAUUUUUGCAGGGUUUUUUUAUUUUUAUUAUUGACCAAUCAAAUCAGAAUUAAAGUAAGACCACACACAGACACAGCCCACUGCCCUGUCAAGUAUCAGCCAAGUGUGGUUUGUAUUUGUUUUUGUUUUUUUCCGUGGGAAAAUAGGCCAACAAACAUAUGCUAGAUAUUUUGAGUGAUUAAUUAAAUAAAAAAAAAAAAUACAAACCUUUCUGGGAACGAGAAGCAGACUUUAAGGUUCAGAAUUGGUCUGCUGUUGGAGCACGACCACACACAUUGCAUCUGACAGUAGUUGGCUGUUUAUCUGCAAGUAUCCUAAUACUUAUUAAUUUAUCUUAUCAUUACAAUAAAAUAAAAAAAAUAGAAAUGUUAAUCACAUUUCAACAGAUUUUUUUAAACCUUACUCAAGCUAUUAGAAGUAUCAGGAGAUACAACCAGUUGGUCGUUUUGCCACGAACCAUAGACAAGGGAUGUAAAGUUGGUUGUCUGUUGCUGAUUCCUUUUUCAUCUACUGUACUUGGAUGCUGGUUGCCUAUAGACGAUUCCUGACUGCUUUUUCAUUUAAACAUUUCAAGGAGAGAUGAAUCAAUUUCAGGUUUGCCGAUUCCUCUUUCAUUUACUUGGUUGCUGCUGAUUGCAGAUUGCUUUUUAAUUUACAGACAGUGUGCAAGAGAGACAAAUCAAUUUAAGAUUUGCCGAUUGCUUUUUCAGAGGUUUCAGAGGAAUCACACUAUACAUAGAUGAAAUUAAUGAAAUCAGCUUUAAGUAGUUUUAGCUACCUCAACAUUUUUUAGCCACCUCAGGAAAGUGACUAAUCAUACUAUACAUAGAGAAAAUAGAGAGAAUCAGCUUUAAGUGCCGUUAAGAUAAAAAUCACUUGUACAAGGUGUUACUAGUGAGACCAGACCAUGAUAUAAAAGGUAUACUGCAAUAACAAUAGUAAUAAUAAUAGUAAAAUCUGUUUAAUUUUUGCUGUGAAACAACUAAAUGGGUUUUUAAAUCGUCAAAGUCCUUAAUUUCUCAAUUAAAAGCAGAAUGAAGAACAAGAAAACGAGGGUGCAGCAUUUUAAUAAGUGACUAGUCAUUAUUAAUGUUAAUAGAAUUACGAAUACUGAUUGUAAUACAGUGUCAGCAAUUAUUUUUUUUGAUCAUAACUUUAAUAAAGAUUAGUCGCUUGCAGUGGCACUGGAACAAUUUUUAAAGUGGGGGUGCUGAAAGCCAUUAAACAAAACUGUAGCCCCUGUAUAUAAUGGAAGCAUGCAAAGCUAGGGGGUACAGUAGCACGCCCAGCACCCCUAGUUCCAGCGCCCCUAGUCACUUAUUAAAAUGUUUCACCUUCAUUUGCUUGCAGUUGUUCUGCAAGCAGGAAAACCCGUAAAUUAAACCAAUUUUACUGCUAACAAGGUUUUCCGUCGUAAUCGAGAUACAUAAAUGGCUAAACCGGGAUCAAUUGAAUUCUUAAAGGAGAAGAAAGGCUCAAAGAAAACACUAAACAACAUGAGCUUUGUAGUAGUAAUAGUCAUAGUAGUAUUGUUGCUGGGUUAUGUUUAAUGAUUUACAUACAUUGUUGUUAAUACAACUUAGUUCUGUAUUUGAGGUGUAAUACCAUCCAAUUAAACAUUACAGUACAUCACUGUUUUGUUCUUUAUAUAUAUAUAUAUUAUUUAUUUAUUUUUGUGCCUAUGAAAAGUGGUGAAUUGAGAAAACUAUGAGACAGAUACAAACACACACAUCCAACAGUGUUUCUCAAACGUGCCUAUUUCUAAACUGCUUGUAUCAAAAUCUAGAUUUGUAUUUUAUUUUAUUUUAUUUAUGAAAAAAUGUAUGUAUGUAUUUAAUAUGAAAACUAAAUGCUACAUUGUAAAUCAUAUAAUAAAUGUGAGUUUAAAAAGCACUCUGUUAUUAUUUUAUGUAUCACUUAGAUACUGUUUUUUAGUUAAUGUGUCUUGAUGAGGUUGUGCUUGUGUGUUUUUAUGUAGCUGCAAUUUGUGAGCCUUCUUGGACAGGUGUUAUGCAAAUGAGAAUUUGUUCUCAAGGAUUUUACCUGCUUAAAUAAAGGGAAUGAUUAAUUAGUUAGUAUUUCAUAUGAAUGUUUAGUAAUUAAGCAAAGAAAACACAAUUUUAAAAAAGUACAAUUGCAAAUAGUGUAGUUGCUAUUUGUUUACAAUGGGGGACAACAUCAUUGACUAGAAACAAGUGAUUGACGUCACAACAUACGCUCCUGAUUGGGUAGGCUUUGGGCGGUUUUUCAGGAAGAAGUGGGCAGGUUUUUGUAAAAGUAAUUGGCAGCCAUGUCUAUGUAUGUUGCCAGAGCACAGCUGAAAGGAAAUCAUGAGCCGAUGCGACUAAAACUUUUAGAAUAGAAUGAUCUUUAAGAAAACAAAAAUGAGAAUGAUACCAAAAAAACUAAUUUAUGGGCCAUGAAAGUAUGUAAUAACAGGAAGUGGGAAAAACGAGUAGGCAGUCCCUUGACUGACGACUUUCCAUAUCCUCUUAACGUUUUACACCAAUUUAGCUGUUAAAUACAUUUUCACCAAUAGCCAACAGAGAAAAGAAAACAGUAGCCCAUCAUAGUUUACUGCUAGCGUAUGUUUAAAAAUGCACGGUAUACAACAUUAAUAUAGCAUUUAGAUUUCAAGACCAUUUAGAUUUUAAGACCACUGGGUUAAAUCCAUCCCUGCCAACAAUCACAAGUGGAAUGUGGCCAUUCCCUAAUUGAGUGCUAAUUAGGGAAUGGUCACAUAUAUAAAAAGAGAGAAAACCCUUUGUUUAGUGGUGGUAUGCAUGGAGAAAAGCCAGUGAAGGCGUUGUACAGCCUGGCUUUUGUAAGUGUUUGUGUUCUAUAUAUUCCUUCUUGUUAAACUCUUUAUUUUGGCCCUCUUGCUCUUGUUUGUUUAUUUAUUGUUCUUUUGUUCCCAGUUGGGAUUAAUAAAUGUGCGUUCUAGUGCCUAAACUGCA